rnacentral:rRNA from 1 species
UACGGAGGGCGCAAGCGUUGUUCGGAAUCACUGGGCGUAAAGCGCGUGUAGGCGGCUUGGUAAGUCGGGUGUGAAAGCCCGGGGCUCAACCCCGGAAUUGCAUUCGAAACUGCCUCGCUCGAGUCCUGGAGAGGGUGGUGGAAUUCCCGGUGUAGAGGUGAAAUUCGUAGAUAUCGGGAGGAACAUCAGCGGCGAAGGCGGCCACCUGGACAGUGACUGACGCUGAGACGCGAAAGCGUGGGGAGCAAAC